rnacentral:tRNA from 1 species
GGAAGUGUGGCCGAGCGGUUGAAGGCACCGGUCUUGAAAGCCGGCGACCCGAAAGGGUUCCAGAGUUCGAAUCUCUGCGCUUCCGCCA